rnacentral:rRNA from 2 species
CAGAGUUUGAUCCUGGCUCAGGACGAACGCUGGCGGCGUGCCUAAUACAUGCAAGUCGAGCGGACAGAUGGGAGCUUGCUCCCUGAUGUUAGCGGCGGACGGGUGAGUAACACGUGGGUAACCUGCCUGUAAGACUGGGAUAACUCCGGGAAACCGGGGCUAAUACCGGAUGGUUGUUUGAACCGCAUGGUUCAAACAUAAAAGGUGGCUUCGGCUACCACUUACAGAUGGACCCGCGGCGCAUUAGCUAGUUGGUGAGGUAACGGCUCACCAAGGCAACGAUGCGUAGCCGACCUGAGAGGGUGAUCGGCCACACUGGGACUGAGACACGGCCCAGACUCCUACGGGAGGCAGCAGUAGGGAAUCUUCCGCAAUGGACGAAAGUCUGACGGAGCAACGCCGCGUGAGUGAUGAAGGCUUUCGGAUCGUAAAGCUCUGUUGUUAGGGAAGAACAAGUACCGUUCGAAUAGGGCGGUACCUUGACGGUACCUAACCAGAAAGCCACGGCUAACUACGUGCCAGCAGCCGCGGUAAUACGUAGGUGGCAAGCGUUGUCCGGAAUUAUUGGGCGUAAAGGGCUCGCAGGCGGUUUCUUAAGUCUGAUGUGAAAGCCCCCGGCUCAACCGGGGAGGGUCAUUGGAAACUGGGGAACUUGAGUGCAGAAGAGGAGAGUGGAAUUCCACGUGUAGCGGUGAAAUGCGUAGAGAUGUGGAGGAACACCAGUGGCGAAGGCGACUCUCUGGUCUGUAACUGACGCUGAGGAGCGAAAGCGUGGGGAGCGAACAGGAUUAGAUACCCUGGUAGUCCACGCCGUAAACGAUGAGUGCUAAGUGUUAGGGGGUUUCCGCCCCUUAGUGCUGCAGCUAACGCAUAAGCACUCCGCCUGGGGAGUACGGUCGCAAGACUGAAACUCAAAGGAAUUGACGGGGGCCCGCACAAG